CCUACGGGAGGCAGCAGCGAGGAAUAUUGGUCAAUGGACGGAAGUCUGAACCAGCCAUGCCGCGUGCAGGAAGACGGCUCUAUGAGUUGUAAACUGCUUUUGUACAAGGGUAAACCUGAAUACGUGUAUUCAGCUGAAAGUACUGUACGAAUAAGGAUCGGCUAACUCCGUGCCAGCAGCCGCGGUAAUACGGAGGAUCCAAGCGUUAUCCGGAUUUAUUGGGUUUAAAGGGUGCGUAGGCGGAUUGGUAAGUUAGGGGGGAAAUGUCCGAGCUUAACUCGGGAACUGCCUCUAAUACUGUUGAUCUAGAGAGUAGAUGCGGUAGGCGGAAUGUAUGGUGUAGCGGUGAAAUGCUUAGAGAUCAUACAGAACACCGAUUGGGAAGGCAGCUUACCAAUCUAUAUCUGACGUUGAGGCACGAAAGCGUGGGGAGCAAACAGGAUUAGAUACCCCAGUAGUC
rnacentral:rRNA from 1 species